CAGUAGCCGCGGGAAUACGAAGGGUGCAAGCGUUACUCGGAAUUACUGGGCGUAAAGCGUGCGUAGGUGGUGGUUUAAGUCCGUUGUGAAAGCCCUGGGCUCAACCUGGGAAUUGCAGUGGAUACUGGGUCACUAGAGUGUGGUAGAGGAUAGUGGAAUUUUCGGUGUAGCAGUGAAAUGCGUAGAGAUCGGAAGGAACAUCUGUGGCGAAGGCGACUAUCUGGGCCAACACUGACACUGAGGCACGAAAGCGUGGGGAGCAAACAGGAUUAGAUACCCGCGUAGUCCCUGUCUCUUAUAC
rnacentral:rRNA from 1 species